rnacentral:rRNA from 1 species
AUUGAACGCUGGCGGCAGGCCUUACACAUGCAAGUCGAACGAGUGGCGGACGGGUGAGUAAUGUCUGGGAAACUGACCGGUGGAGGGGGAUACCUACUGGUAACGGUAGCUAAUACCGCAUACCAUCGGAUGUGCCCGGAUGGGAUUAGCUAGUUGGUGGGGUAACUGCUCACCAAGGCGAGGAUCCCUAGCUGGUCUGAGAGGAUGACCAGCCACACUGGAACUGAGACACGGUCCAGACUCCUACGGGAGGCAGCAGUGGGGAAUAUUGGACAAUGGGCGCAAGCCUGAUGCAGCCAUGCCGCGUGUAUGAAGAAGGCCUUCGGGUUGUAAAGUACUUUCAGCAGGGAGGCGGUACCCGCAGAAGAAGCACCGGCUAACUCCGUGCCAGCAGCCGCGGUAAUAC